UACGUAGGGAGCAAGCGUUGUCCGGAAUCAUUGGGCGUAAAGCGCGCGUAGGCGGCCCGGUAAGUCCGCUGUGAAAGUCCAGGGCUCAACCCUGGGAUGCCGGUGGAUACUGUCGGGCUAGAGUCCGGAAGAGGCGAGUGGAAUUCCUGGUGUAGUGGUGAAAUGCGUAGAUAUCGGGAGGAACACCAGUGGCGAAAGCGGCUACCUGGCCCAUUCUUGACGCUGAGGCGCGAAAGCUAGGGGAGCAAACGGG
rnacentral:rRNA from 1 species